CCUACGGGAGGCAGCAGUGGGGAAUAUUGGACAAUGGGCGAAAGCCUGAUCCAGCCAUGCCGCGUGUGUGAAGAAGGUCUUCGGAUUGUAAAGCACUUUAAGUUGGGAGGAAGGGCAGUCAGCGAAUACCUUGCUGUCUUGACGUUACCGACAGAAUAAGCACCGGCUAACUCUGUGCCAGCAGCCGCGGUAA
rnacentral:rRNA from 1 species